rnacentral:rRNA from 1 species
GUCUACAGCCAAGCCACCCUGAACAAACCCGAUCCCAUCUGAUCUCGGAAGCUAAGCAGGACCUGGUUAGUACUUGGAUGGGAGACCACCUAGGAAGAGCAGGUGCCGUAGGUA